rnacentral:rRNA from 1 species
AUGACGAGGCCACCGUGUGCUAACCAAGAAGACAUGACAAACAAGUGGGAGGACGCAUCUUUGGACAAGGUGAAGGAGAAAGAUGUCAACAUGCCGCCAUGUUGGUGUGGAGAUGUUUGCAAGGUGAAGGUGUCCACCGACCGAAAGAAAGCAUGGACGGAAGGGCGGAGAUAUUUUGUAUGCCCGAACUAUACUUAUGAUCGUGCACUUCCAACUAACGCUUAUGACCAACCGCCAGUAAGCUCGAGAAGUAAAAUGUUACUCUCAAAUGUGUGUCAACACUAA